UACGGAGGGUGCGAGCGUUGUCCGGAAUCACUGGGCGUAAAGGGCGCGUAGGCGGCCUGAUAAGUAGGGGGUGAAAUCCUGCGGCUUAACCGCAGGGCUGCCUUCUAAACUGUCGGGCUAGAGCACGGUAGAGGCAGAUGGAAUUCCCGGUGUAGCGGUGGAAUGCGUAGAGAUCGGGAAGAACAUCAAGUGGCGAAGGCGGAUCGUGCCUUGG
rnacentral:rRNA from 1 species